CAGUCGCCGCGGUAAAACGAAGGGGGCUAGCGUUGUUCGGAAUUACUGGGCGUAAAGCGCACGUAUGCUGACAUUUAAGUCAGGGGUGAAAUCCCGGGGCUCAACCCCGGAACUGCCUUUGAUACUGGGUGUCUAGAGUAUGGAAGAGGUGAGUGGAAUUCCGAGUGUAGAUGUGAAAUUCGUAGAUAUUCGGAGGAACACCAGUGGCGAAGGCGGCUCACUGGUCCAUUACUGACGCUGAGGUGCGAAAGCGUGGGGAGCAAACAGGAUUAGAUACCCGAGUAGUCCCUGUCUCUUAUAC
rnacentral:rRNA from 1 species